GUCCGGACAGCCGCGCGCUGAGGGUCUCGGGGCGGGCGCCGCGGGACCUCUCCGGGCCAUGGCAGCCCCUGUCAAAGGGAACAGGAAGCAGUCCACGGAGGGUGACGCCCUAGACCCACCUGCAUCCCCCAAACCUGCUGGCAAGCAGAACGGAAUCCAGAACCCCAUCUCGCUGGAGGUGAGUUGACUCCCUCUGCUGACUCCCUGGGCACUCUUCCCUGCCACCCUCACCUGUGCUCCGCCUCCAGGUGAACCUGGACACUCCCCAAGCUCUCAGGAGGGAGAUAUGUUCCUACCCUGGCCCUGCCCAGCAGCCAGGGGACUUACUUGUCAUCUGUGGCAGAGAGUUUCAAUCUUGGUUUUUGUAGCAGAACCCUUUUUUGAAAUGAAGAUGACCUACCACCCUGAUCCAUUAAACAGACAAAAGCUCCAGCCCAUGAUGUAAAACCACAUUCACAUCCAUUCAUUCAGAUGCAUAACAUGGGCGUAUAAAGUCACUCGGUGAGACCAGCAAGACUGUUUCGAUGAGCACAGAAUCUGAAGGGGGAGCUGCAGGCAGCUUUUUCGGAGCACAGUCGGCCCCGGCUUUCAUUCAUUUUGGCCAUUUGCUUUGGUGGCACAGUCUGGAAAAAUAUCCUGAUUCAUGCAGAAAAGUGGUUGCAAAUGGUAGUUGUCUUUAGCAGCUUGCCAGGAAUUCAGAAUAGAGGCCUGGAGGAGCAGAUUGACUUGAGCAGUUAUGAGAGAGCCUUCCUUCUGAGGUCUGCACAGACCAGCCCCAGGGCCCCAGCAUGUUAUGAUUUCAUGGGUGAUAUGUGAGUUCCUAUGUUGUUUCUUCUUAGAGGUCUUUAAUACCUUAAAAACACUGAGCUAUUACAGAAGCUAUUUACAACUAACAAAAAAAGUAAAAACACUGAAAUAAACUUGAAUCAAUUAUUAUUUUUUUUUUUAGACAGAGUCUCACUGUUACCCAGGCUGGAGUGCAGUGGCACAAUCUUGGCUCACUGCAACCUCCAGCUCCUGGGUUCAAAUGAUUCUUCUGCCUCAGCCUCCCGAGUAGCUGGGAUUACAGGCAUGCACUACCAGGCCUGGCUAAUUUUUGUAUUUUUAGUAGAGAUGGGAUUUCCCCAUGUUGGCCAGGCUGGUCUCAAACUCCUGACCUCAAGUGAUCUCUCUGCCCACCUCGGCCUCCCAAAGUGCUGGGAUUACAGGAGUGAGCCACCGUGCCCAGCUGGAUCAAAUAUUUUUGGAACACAUGGCUGUCUGCGCUGUCCUAGUCCAGAUGGUUUAUGUCCUGGAAGCUGUCUGUUCUCUGAGCAGGGUAUGGGCCCUAGGCUCUCUGCCCCGAGCCACUCGCUGGAUAAACGGCAUCAGCAGAGAUUGCCCCUCUGGGACCCGCAACCAAAAGUCCUGUGCCCCUGACAGCAGUGCGCAAUUGAAGCCCAGAGCUUCACCUCCCUGUGCUCAGCACGGCAGGCUGGGGCCACACAGAGGCUCGGGGAACAUGGGCCUCACAGAGUAACCCCAGGGCACCAGAAAGCACCAAGCACCUUUGUUCCUUCAGCUUUUCCCUCUGCGGUUAUGGGGGAGUCCCAGGGACACUGAGCCUGCCCUCCUGGAGUUCCUAGUCUGGCGGAGGAGCUGACACAAAUAGGACAAAUCAAGAACAAGACAGAGAAGUGACCCUGGCCUGGAGAAGGCUGGGGACUGCUCUCGUGGCAGCCUCUGGAGCCAGCUGCUCUGGGGUACCCAGCCUCCGGGGAGGUCCUGGACUCUAGCUCCUGUCCUGGGGCGCUGAGAGCUGACACCUGUGUCUGCCGAACCCAGGAACAGUCACUCCCUCCCAGAACAGUGGCUAGGUGUUCUCUGGGAAACUGGGGUUGGGGUAGGUACCUUAUUCCUCCUGCAGCCAGUGGUUUCUGCACAUCCCCAGCAGCCAGCCACCAACUGGGGCCCAUCCCAAUGCCUCCUGUUCUCUCCCCAGGACUCCCCCGAGGCAGGCGGGGAGCGGGAGGAGGAGCAGGAGCGGGAGGAGGAGCAGGCCUUCCUGGUCAGCCUCUACAAGUUCAUGAAGGAGCGACACACGCCCAUCGAGAGGGUGCCCCAUCUCGGCUUCAAGCAGAUUAACCUGUGGAAGAUCUACAAAGCAGUGGAGAAGCUGGGGGCCUAUGAGCUGUCCAUGGCCCUAGGAGAGAGAAUCGGCUGGCCGCUGCUGGAGCCGCAGAGCAGCUGCCAAACUGCAGUCCUUCGAGUCCCUGCGAGGGCGGCCGGAGCUGCAAGGA
rnacentral:lncRNA from 10 species